GGCUAUCUCCCAUGCGGCGGUGCCGUGUGAACCGGGUCAGACGGGAAACCGAGCAGCCCUAAGCAAUGUGCGUCCGGGUGCACUGGGAGGUAGCCUUU
rnacentral:SRP_RNA from 1 species